rnacentral:rRNA from 1 species
CGAAUACAUUAGCAUGGGAUAAUGGAAUAGGACCCUGUCCUCCUAUUUUCAGUUGGUUUUGGCAGCGCGAGGACUAGGGUAAUGAUUAAUAGGGAUAGUUGGGGGCAUUAAUAUUUAAUUGUCAGAGGUGAAAUUCUUGGAUUUAUGAAAGAUUAACUUCUGCGAAAGCAUCUGCCAAGGAUGUUUUCAUUAAUCAAGAACGAAAGUUAGGGGAUCGAAGACGAUCAGAUACCGUCGUAGUCUUAACCAUAAACGAUGCCGACCAGCGAUUAGGAGACGUUGAAUACAAAACACCACCAUCGGCGCGGUCGUCCUUGGCGUC